rnacentral:rRNA from 1 species
UACAGAGGGUGCAAGCGUUAUCCGGAUUCACUGGGUUUAAAAGGGUGCGUAGGUGGGGUGGUAAGUCAGUGGUGAAAUCUCCGAGCUUAACUUGGAAACUGCCAUUGAUACUAUCAUUCUUGAAUAUUGUGGAGGUCAGCGGAAUAUGUCAUGUAGCGGUGAAAUGCUUAGAUAUGACAUAGAACACCAAUUGCGAAGCAGCUGGCUACACAUAUAUUGACACUGAGGCACGAAAAGCGUGGGGGAUCAAAACAGG